rnacentral:rRNA from 1 species
UACGUAGGGUGCAAGCGUUAAUCGGAAUUACUGGGCGUAAAGCGUGCGCAGGCGGUUGUGUAAGACAGAUGUGAAAUCCCCGGGCUUAACCUGGGAACUGCAUUUGUGACUGCAAGGCUGGAGUGCGGCAGAGGAGACUGGAAUUCCUGGUGUAGCAGUGAAAUGCGUAGAUAUCAGGAGGAACACCGAUGGCGAAGGCAGGUCUCUGGGCUGACACUGACGCUCAUGCACGAAAGCGUGGGGAGCAAACAGG